rnacentral:rRNA from 1 species
AUUGAACGCUGGCGGCAGGCCUAACACAUGCAAGUCGAGCGAGUGGCGGACGGGUGAGUAAUGUAUGGGGACUGCCCGAUAGAGGGGGAUAACUACUGGAAACGGUGGCUAAUACCGCAUACUGUCGGAGAAACCAUAUGGGAUUAGCUAGUAGGCAAGGGAAUGGCUUACCUAGGAGCCGAUCCCUAGCUGGUCUGAGUGGAUGCGCAGCCACACUGGGACUGAGACACGGCCCAGACUCCUACGGAGGCAGCAGUGGGGAAUAUUGCACAAGGGGCGCAAGCCGGAUGCAGCCAUGCCGCGUGUAUGAAGAAGGCCCUAGGGUUGUAAAGUACUUUCAGUCGGGAGGCGUUACCGACAGAAGAAGCACCGGCUAACUCCGUGCCAGCAGCCGCGGUAAUUC